rnacentral:rRNA from 1 species
AAUCAACGCUGGCGGCGUGCCUAACACAUGCAAGUCGAACGAGAAAGUGGAGCAAUCCAUGAGUAAAGUGGCGAACGGGUGAGUAACACGUGGGUGACCUGCCCUCAGCUCUGGGAUAAGCCUGGGAAACCGGGUCUAAUACCGGAUAUGACUCCAUGACGCAUGUUGUGGGGUGGAAAGCCUUGUGCGGCUGAGGAUGGGCCCGCGGCCUAUCAGCUUGUUGGUGGGGUGAUGGCCUACCAAGGCGACGACGGGUAGCCGGCCUGAGAGGGCGACCGGCCACACUGGGACUGAGACACGGCCCAGACUCCUACGGGAGGCAGCAGUGGGGAAUCUUGCGCAAUGGGCGAAAGCCUGACGCAGCGACGCCGCGUGAGGGAUGACGGCCU